UACGUAGGGCGCAAGCGUUAUCCGGAAUUAUUGGGCGUAAAGAGCUCGUAGGCGGUUUGUCGCGUCUGCCGUGAAAACUCGGGGCUUAACCCCGGGCCUGCAGUGGGUACGGGCAGACUAGAGUGCGGUAGGGGAGACUGGAAUUCCUGGUGUAGCGGUGAAAUGCGCAGAUAUCAGGAGGAACACCGAUGGCGAAGGCGGCAUCCUGGACCGGCAUUGACGCUGAGGAGCGAAAGCCAGGGGGAGCAAACGGGG
rnacentral:rRNA from 1 species